GGUCUGCAGGAAGCCCUUUGAGGAUGAAACCUUGAGAGAUGGCCAGGUUUAAGAAUAACCUGGAGAAGAAGAGACAUGGAUAGGUUGAUUAGAGGGGACAAUUUACAAAGAAGUGUGAAGGGAAGAGGAAGACCACAAAGGAAUAAUGCAAGUGUCCAGAGCUGGAAGCAGUAGAAGCUGUUAUCAACCCUACGCCCAAAGGACAAGAGGACAGAGAGGUUGCCGGAACUCUGAAGGUACCUGAUAAAAUUCAUCAGUGAAGCCAUCUGAGCCUGGAGUCUUCUUUGAGGCAAGAUUUUAAAUUACUAAUUCAAUUUCAUUAGUAGGUAUAAGAUUAUUUGGGUUUUCUAUUUCUUGGUAUGUCAGUUUGACAA